UACGAAGGGGGCUAGCGUUGCUCGGAAUCACUGGGCGUAAAGGGUGCGUAGGCGGGUCUUAAGUCAGGGGUGAAAUCCUGGAGCUCAACUCCAGAACUGCCUUUGAUACUGAAGAUCUUGAGUUCGGGAGAGGUGAGUGGAACUGCGAGUGUAGAGGUGAAAUUCGUAGAUAUUCGCAAGAACACCAGUGGGCGAAGGCGGCUCACUGGCCCGAUACUGACGCUGAGGCACGAAAGCGUGGGGAGCAAACAGG
rnacentral:rRNA from 1 species